GGAAUAUUGGUCAAUGGGCGAGAGCCUGAACCAGCCAAGUAGCGUGAAGGAUGACGGCCCUACGGGUUGUAAACUUCUUUUAUGCGGGAAUAAAGUUCGCCACGUGUGGCGUUUUGCAUGUACCGCAAGAAAAAGCACCGGCUAAUUCCGUGCCAGCAGCCGCGGUAAUACGGAAGGUGCGAGCGUUAUCCGGAUUUAUUGGGUUUAAAGGGAGCGCAGGCUGAUGAUUAAGCGUGACGUGAAAUGUAGCCGCUCAAUGGCUGAACUGCGUAGCGAACUGGUUAUCUUGAGUGAGUUCGAUGUUGGCGGAAUUCGUGGUGUAGCGGUGAAAUGCUUAGAUAUCACGAAGAACUCCGAUUGCGAAGGCAUCCAACAAGGCCUUUACUGACGCUAAAGCUCGAAGGUGCGGGUAUCGAACA
rnacentral:rRNA from 1 species